rnacentral:rRNA from 1 species
GGUCCCUAAUCGGGAUUGCGGACAGUGCCUGGUGGGUAGUUUGACUGGGGCGGUCUCCUCCCAAAGAGUAACGGAGGAGCACGAAGGUGGGCUAAACACGGUUGGACAUCGUGUGGUUAGUGCAAUGGCAUAAGCCCGCUUGACUGCGAGAAUGACAAUUCGAGCAGGUGCGAAAGCAGGUCAUAGUGAUCCGGUGGUUCUGAAUGGAAGGGCCAUCGCUCAACGGAUAAAAGGUACUCCGGGGAUAACAGGCUGAUACCGCCCAAGAGUUCAUAUCGACGGCGGUGUUUGGCACCUCGAUGUCGGCUCAUCACAUCCUGGGGCUGAAGUCGGUCCCAAGGGUAUGGCUGUUCGCCAUUUAAAGUGGUACGCGAGCUGGGUUUAGAACGUCGUGAGACAGUUCGGUCCCUAUCUGCCGUGGGCGUUGGAAGAUUGAAGGGGGCUGCUCCUAGUACGAGAGGACCGGAGUGGACGAACCUCUGGUGUUCGGGUUGUCAUGCCAAUGGCAUUGCCCGGUAGCUAAGUUCGGAAUCGAUAAGCGCUGAAAGCAUCUAAGCGCGAAGCGAGCCCUGAGAUGAGUCUUCCCUGGCACUUUAAGUGUCCUAAAGGGUUGUUCGAGACUAGAACGUUGAUAGGCAGGGUGUGUAAGUGCUG